rnacentral:rRNA from 1 species
AGCGAACGCUGGCGGCAGGCUUAACACAUGCAAGUCGAACGCCCGUAGCAAUACGGGAGUGGCAGACGGGUGAGUAACGCGUGGGAACAUGCCCUUUGGUUCGGAAUAACUCAGGGAAACUUGAGCUAAUACCGGAUAAGCCCGAGAGGGGAAAGAUUUAUCGCCGAAGGAUUGGCCCGCGUCCGAUUAGCUAGUUGGUGAGGUAAUGGCUCACCAAGGCGACGAUCGGUAGCUGGUCGGAGAGGAUGAACAGCCACACUGGGACCGAGGCACGGCCCAGACUCCUACGUGAGGCAGCAGUGGGGAAUAUUGGACAAUGGGGGCAACCCUGAUCCAGCCAUGCCGCGUGAGUGAUGAAGGCCCUAGGGUUGCAAAGCUCUUUCGGCGGGGACGAUAAUGACGGUACCCGCAGAAGAAGCCCCGGCUAACUUCGUGCCAGCCGCCGCCGUAAUAC